GCCAGCAGCCAUAUCACCCUGCAACUCACAACUGGCAACCCACUGAAGCCAAGCAGGUGAGAGCCUUAUCAGUACCUGGAUGGGAGACCUCCUGGUAAAAACUAAGGUUGCUGCUGGAA
rnacentral:rRNA from 1 species